rnacentral:lncRNA from 1 species
GGUGCGUGUCCCCAGUCCUGUCCGGCCCGUCCCUGUUCCCCGCACCAGGUUAGUGGUGCGUGUCCCCAGUCCUGUCCGGCCCGUUCCUGCUCCCCGCACCAGGUUAGUGGUGCGUGUCCCCAGUCCUGUCCGGCCCGUCCCUGUUCCCCGCACCAGGUUGGUGGUGCGUGUCCCCAGUCCGGCCCGGCCCGUUCCUGCUCCCCGCACCAAGUCAGUGGUGCGUGUCCCCAGUCCUGUCCGGCCCGUCCCUGCUCCCCGCACCAAGUCAGUGGUGCGUGUCCCCAGUCCUGUCCGGCCCGUCCCUGCUCCCCGCACC